rnacentral:rRNA from 1 species
UUGCUCCUACGGGGGGCAGCAGUGGGGAAUAUUGCACAAUGGGGGAAACCCUGAUGCAGCGACGCCGCGUGAGUGAAGAAGUAUUUCGGUAUGUAAAGCUCUAUCAGCAGGAACGAGACAAGACGGUACCUGACUAAGAAGCCCCGGCUAACUACGUGCCAGCAGCCGCGGUAAUACGUAGGGGGCAAGCGUUAUCCGGAAUCACUGGGUGUAAAGGGAGCGUAGACGGCUGUGCAAGCCUGAAGUGAAAGGCGGGGGCCCAACCCCCGGGACUGCAUUGGAAACUGUCAGGCUAGAGUGCGGGG